rnacentral:rRNA from 1 species
GACGAACGCUGGCGGCGUGCUUAACACAUGCAAGUCGAACGGUAAGGCCCUUCGGGGUACACGAGUGGCGAACGGGUGAGUAACACGUGGGUGAUCUGCCCUGCACUUCGGGAUAAGCCUGGGAAACUGGGUCUACUACCGGAUAGGACCACUGCCUGCAUGGGUGGUGGUGGAAAGCUUGUGCGGUGUGGGAUGGGCCCGCGGCCUAUCAGCUUGUUGGUGGGGUGAUGGCCUACCAAGGCGACGACGGGUAGCCGGCCUGAGAGGGUGACCGGCCACACUGGGACUGAGAUACGGCCCAGACUCCUACGGGAGGCAGCAGUGGGGAAUAUUGCACAAUGGGCGCAAGCCUGAUGCAGCGACGCCGCGUGAGGGAUGACGGCCUUCGGGUUGUAAACCUCUUUCAGCACCGACGAAGCGCAAGUGACGGUAGGUGCAGAAGAAGGACCGGCCAACUACGUGCCAGCCGCCGCAGUAA